UUAACUGUGCUGUGCUUCACUCAUAACCCCAGGGCGCACGCUGUACAUGCUCAUUCAUUCGGUCAGUCGGUGCCCCGGCCAGUCCCCACGCAUUCGGUUUGUCUGUAGCAGCGCUCUUCACACACUACUCUGAAGAUAUUUACCAGUGCAGUGAUAUUUCUCUGAAACUUUUCUGAAGAUAGCUUUUACAUGCAUGUGUCUGUGAGAACUGAGAAGGAGAGCAAUGGACAGUAGUGGAUGCAAACUGCACAGCAAGCUUGUUCCCAGCUUCCAGAGACGGAUGCACGAUGCAGCAGAGAUGGCAUAUCUGUUUUGGCAUGGCAUGGGUACUAUAGCUACUACUGGCCGGUGAUGCAACGCAGCAACUUGCAGCUGCAUGCCCCUGAAUGUUAGUUGGUGCUAAUGGGAGCCUCCUCAUCCUGUGAAUGUGUGUCUCCUCAUGGCAUCUUGUCCCUGUUUGCAUCAUGCAGCAUCCAAAAGCCAGGCAGAAUGCAGGACAAGCAGCUCCCUUGGCGCAUUGCAUCCUCUUCACCUUGCAGACCAGAGCAGGACCAACACCCUGUUAGUUCGUUCGCUGCUGCAUGGACGCACGCAUCCACCAGCAUCAUCUGCAAUUCUGCAUGGAGACAUAUAUGGAGGAAACCUUAAACACGAACGACAGCCGCACGCGCGCGCGCCCUUCCUCCUAGC